GACAGCCUCAGACUCAGGGCUGGGACCCUUGGGACUCAAAAGAGAGAAAAGGUGGAGAAAAGAGAAAGCUACUAUUUUCUUCAUUUUGCCCCUGCUAACAUCCAAUGCACUUAGGAGCCUCGAUGUCUGCUCUCCAAGAGUAAGUUAUUUGGUGUUCCAGAGUACUCUAUAAUCAACUCUUCAGAAAAUCUUGUUACGGAUGUCUGAUCUGAAAGCAUGUUGUGGUCCGCUACACACAAGAGCAAAAGAAGAGCAGGAAGGAGCUCAGUGCCAAGACCAUAGCCACAGGAAGAAAACCAGCUCUUAGGGCUGCAGCUCUAAAGACAGGCCAGGUCAUUACAGGAACGUCUGCUCCCUUAGCCUUGCCAGACAGAGGAGGG
rnacentral:lncRNA from 1 species